CGUGCUAAGAAAAAAGAAAAAUUCUGAAAAGUGAUAAUUUUGCCGCGUUGCUUAGCAACAUUGGAAGCAGAAAUAUAAAUGUGGUACUUUCUCCCGCGGGUUUAUUGAUAAACUAAGCCAGUGAGUAGACAGAUCGUUCUCACGCGUUUAGUAACAUAUUGCGGGAUUUACAACGUCUGUGAUCCCCGAAUAGUACUGUUUAAACAAGAAGUAAUGAUUCAAAUGACGUACUAUAUGUAGUUACGAGGGAUUUAGUCGAACUCAUGAGCGAGCCAAAUGAGGACAGAAAAAAUGUGGAGCCACCUUCUUAUAGCGAGGCUCACCUAUAUCCCAGUCACGUGACAUGCGAUGCCACCGGAAGUGAACUUCCGUUGAUGUCUGAUGCCGCCUGCAGUGACGUAAAAGUGAACAUAAAUCCAGACUCGAACAGUAGGGAUGAGGAAACACGUAGCCAUUCAAGUGACUAUGUAUUAUUAAGUCGUAUAGACGUGAACAAUCAAUAUAAUGGUCCGCCAACACCUGGAAGUAAAUAUUCCUAUAAGAACUGUAAUCUUGUUUUCCACGACUCCAUGUCCACUGUAAGAUAUGUUUGGAAGGAAGGAAAAGUACAGGCCGUACCGGUCGAUAAAAGCAAUGCCAAUGGCCCUAAACGAUCAGCGGGAUUAUUAUCGUGUGCUUUCUGUGCGGGACUGUUGUUAUUGUCUAUAGUCAUUUUGUUUGUUAUCACUUCAUCCAAAUUACUGUAACACAGAACAAUCCACUCGGUAAUCGUCGACUAUUUUGAAAAAAGAAGAACUUGUACACAUCUCAGCUUUAAACCAAUUCCUCGGCGAAGAUGUCUUGUAUCAAGGCUAGUAAAGGAAAAAUGAGUAAUGUUACUAAGAACUUUGAUUCAUAUUGUUGAUUGUUGAAGGACUGGUGGGGAUAACCAAUCUAUCGCUACGCUCGGUAACCUGUGUUUCAAACAAAAGUCAAGAUAUAUAUGUGUGACAACAAGGCCAACUAAAUAAUAUGGUUGUUUCUGUAUACUGAUCUGGCUGCUAAUCAAAGAAAUAGAAAACUGAUAUUUUCUUGAGGUUUUUUUUUUUAAAAAAAUUUUGGACAAAUUAUAAGCCUGAUUCUUUUCAUUGACACCUGCUGCUCUGUCAAUAUGUAAAAUGUAUAUUUUGUCCAGAUCUUAUCAUAUAAAGUUUUACUAGCAAGAAACACCCAGUGACGUUGCAACAUACAUUAAUGACGCAUUGUGUUCCUAUUAUUGUGUCUUGUAUCACACCAAUAAGAUCUCCCGAUAUGCCGACAUAUUGCCUUCAUUUGAUUCUCACCAAACCAACAUAAACCACCAGGCGAUAUUUCACAAAGUGAAAAAAAUCAAUGAAUUGAAACUUCAUACAUACAAUAUAAUCGGCAUAUUAUGUGUCAUAAUUUCAUAUUUAUUAUCUUUAAAGCCUAGCUCACACGGGUAACUUUUAAGCGACUUUACUUGCCUCCAUAUUGCUAGAAACCGCCCUUGUGCGCGUCAUUGCAACGGAAACGGAUAUCUAUUUUUGUCGCCUGUGAGGGUUGCCAAUAUAUUUCUCAUCAGUGGCUGUGUACACACAAUCUGUUUCACAGAGAAUUACGAGUCUCGUAUAAUAUCUCUGUCAUAGAUGACUGCCUUAACACGUGCUGUCACAGCACGCGGUGUGAAUCAUUGGCUGAAUGGCGCGUGCAUUGUUUACAUAAGACAUAACUGCUUCGGAGAGAAUGCUGCAUUUUAGUCAAUGUAAUACCCAUUUACACUAAAUCGGAAAUAGUUUUUACCUACAAAUACGUCAAACGCCUUUAUUUAUUUUUCAAAUAUAUACAAAAAAUGUUUUAGAAUUUAAUUUGUCGCAGGAAAAAUGUUAAUAUUUCUAGCUCAUUAAGCCGCAUCAAUGUCAUCCUUAUCAGUGAUUGUCGCGGCCAAGCAAAUAUUCACUGCGGAUCAGUGUGGUGUAUACACUAUCAAGUAAUCUGUCGCAAAAUAUCACGUGAUAUUACAAAAUCGGCAAAUGGGUGUAUAUCUAUACACCUUUUGACCGCACAAUUGUCCAGAAAUUACUGGUUGCUUCAGCAAACGAAGAAAAUCGCCCGUGUACGCUAGGCUUUAGGUUACUUCUGGUUCCUUAAUCGUAUUAUUAGACGUUAAGGUGUUAUGUUAACACCUCGUAUAAUCAUUUCUAUAUGAAAAUUAACUGAAAAUAUUCUAGAAUAAGUUGUCUUUAGAAAUCAAAAUUGCAUAAUGUUAUAUCAACAUAUAUAUAAACUGUUCAUUAGAUUCGUUGGCAUGUAUAUCAAUUUUGCUCUUGACUCGAUUUUAUAUCUAAAUGUACAAAAGAGUUUAUUGGGUGUCACGGUCAUUCACCUCAGUAAAAUGAAUUUGAUUAACUGAAAAGGUUAAACCUCCUACCUCACAAUAUACAUUUGUGUGCUUUUUUAUGCCGAUCUUUACCAUUCUAGCACACUAUGCUUAGUUAAUCACUAUAGACAUUUGAUACCAUAUCUAGGCUUAUGCGAAUGAUAAGGCCACAUUAAUUUGAAUAUCUAUUCUUCGGCAACACCAAUUAAAAAUUCUGCCUCCAAUUUCUUCAGAAAAAAUACUGAUUUGAAAACAAAAAAUACUUAGAAGCUCUUCUCAAAAGCUUUUAGAAUUGAGUGGGUUAUGUAAAAAUAAAGACCCUGAAAAAUUAAAAAUUAAUGUGAUCUGGCCUUAUGGACUAUUCUAAUCAGUUAUGUUCGAUGAAAUCCGUGAGCAGUCCAAAUUGAGUUAGAAUUGUUUGCACCUGGUUAAUCCAGUCAACAAGUUCAUCUUUUUUAUAGUUUGUGGAUCAGCCAUGUGUAAUCGAUGUUUUGAUUUGUUCAUCAAGUCUUUUCAUUAUCAAUGACGUUCGAACUCGACGUCGGGAACUGAUCUUCAAAUUAUCAAUUUGUAUUAAUUUCACGGUAAGAUAACAUCAAUAUUGAUUGUAAUGGACCAAUGUUGAAUUCUUAUUUGUGUUUUUAAUGUCGAAUCUUACGGAUAAUAUUGAACUGGAGAUAUACUCCCUUUAAUGUACAUUAUGCGAUUUUGCCAAAAUGCGUGGAUUAGUGCUAAUUAUUAGAAAUAGGAACAUAAAUACGCUGUACACUUCUAGACUAUCAGCUAACGUCGAUUCGCCCAAUUAGAUACACGAGAAGCCCAAACAAACAGAACGCAAAUUAAUUAAAAGGGGCAUUUUGGUGCUAACGCCCCACCCCUUUCUUAGAUAAGUUUAGCAUGAAUCUAACUUCUACUUGCUUUACGGACAGCCGUUUUUGUCGAGAAUCCAUAUCAAUGUCAAUUUCAUAUCACUUUUUUAUUAGGUUAAUGCCAGGCUGACACUUGCACGACUUUUGGCCACGAUUUUGUCGUUGCAAGUCGUGCCAUUUUGGGGCACGAACUGGGAGGCUCCCUCAAAGUUCACGACUAGUUCACGCAUAGUUCACGACGAGUUCACGAAUGCGUGCCCAUCAGUGUCCACAUUGACACGAACUGGCUGGCACGACGAGUUCACGCAUAGUUUGCGCAUAGUUUGCGCAUUGUUUACGCACUUCCCGCAUUGGCACGACGAGUUUGAGCAAUUCGGACGGUGUCGUGCCGACUUGGGCACGCCAUAUAAAAAGGGGUCCUCCCCAACCCCUGGUCAUUUUUGGAUUGGCCGUGGAAGAGACAACAUGCUGAAUGUCAGAGACACAAUCAUUGCAGGGAAGAGAAGUUGCCUAUACCUGGCAGCUGCUCUAGCCAUUGUUCAAGAGCAGCAGAAAAGGCUGGAAGAGGCAGAAGAGCAAGAAAAGUCAACCCCACCUCGAAGAAAGACACAAAGGAAAGUGUGGGUCAGGGAAUGGUUGACCAGAAGGCAAGAGUUUGGACAGUAUGAAAGUUUACUGACUGAACGCCACGCACUGGCACGCAUCCUCCCGCAUCGUCCCGACGAGUUCACGACGAGUUCACGAACAGUUUGCGCAUAGUUCACGACCCGGUCGCUAAAUUUUGUCGUGACCAAAAUUUUGAACAUUUCAAAAUUCUCGUCCCGACAUGGCACGCAGUCACGACGGGUUUACGCACACUUCACGCCAGUUUACGACUAGUUUGCGCACUGGCACGACUCGAGCCACGGAAUCGUGCAAGUGUCAGCCUUGCUUAAGCAACAAAGAAUGUGUUGACAAAGAAUGAUUAUCUACAUGCAUGAUAUUUUAUCAAAUAUUUUAUUGGUAUUACAAAAUAUUAAAUAACGUAUCAUGAUCUCUUUGAUCCAAUCUCUGCAGCCGAACCAUAAAAUUGCUACUCAUCUCUGUGUUUUAAUACACCCAACUAUUAAUGUGUUCGUAUAUUGCCUUUAACACUGUCCGUCCGUCUACCCAAAAUCUUGAAUGACAAUCUUAUUUCGUUUCGUUUUUUUAUAGUUCAAGUAUAAAAGUAUAAAGAGAACGAAACGAAAUAUAUGUCAGUUUUAUUUUUUGUUUUCUAUUGCAAAUUUUCUAAGAUUUUUUUGCCUGGUCAUAAAGACGAAUACUGCCGAAAUCAAGUUACUACCCCACCCCUCACCUCCCCAAAUCAUUGCAUGUCAGAAUUGUUAAACUUUUUUUUUCAAAUUAUUCAAACUUACUGGGAUUUGACUAGUUUAGUCACUGGGAUAGCGUCUUUCAAAAUUAAUGAUGAGGUUAUCGAUCCUAUCAUUUUCACCUGUUAAAAAACAAGUCAGAUGUAUGAUUCGUCUUGAAAAGCUGAAUACUGACAGCCCCAUAGUUUCUAAAUAGUUUAUUUUUUUAAAAAUGGUUGUAGAACUAAUUAGAAUGUAGGGUACGUUUGUCAUCAAAGCCAGAUUUUACGUAUAUGUACUUUCCAAAGAGUUGCGAGUGGGUGUAUGUUUCGUUGUCUAGCAACACGUCUUUUUUUGGUUUUAUAAUUUGUAUAUAUCUGUACGUAUGAAAAUAAAUAUUUGAUUAUCAGAAAUGUCGUGUAUGAAUAUGUUUCAGUUUA